UACGUAGGGUGCAAGCGUUGUCCGGAAUUAUUGGGCGUAAAGAGCUCGUAGGCGGUCUGUCGCGUCUGCUGUGAAAACCUAGGGCUUAACUCUGGGCGUGCAGUGGGUACGGGCAGGCUAGAGUGCGGUAGGGGGAGACUGGAAUUCCUGGUGUAGCGGUGAAAUGCGCAGAUAUCAGGAGGAACACCGGUGGCGAAAGGCGGGGUCUCUGGGCCGUAACUGACGCUGAGGAGCGAAAGCAUGGGGGAGCGAACAGG
rnacentral:rRNA from 1 species